UGUAAUCCCAGCACUUUGGGACACUGAGGAGGGCGGAUCACUUGAGGUCAGGAGUUUGAGACCAACCUGGCCAACAUGGCAAAACCCCGUCUUUACUAAAAAUACAAAAAAAUAGCUGGGUGUCCUGGUGCACGCCUGUAGUCCCAGCUGCUUGGAAGGCUGAGGCAGGAGAAUCACUUGAACCCGGGAGGCGGAAUCACUUGAACCUGGGAGGCGGAGGUUGCACUGAGCUGAGAUUGUGCUACUGCACGCCAGCCUGGGCGACAGAGUGAGACUGUCUCAAAAAAAAACCCUCAGAAAACAUACAUACCAUAGAGACAUACUAUUAGAAAUGCUAUUUGUUAUAGAGGAUCAAUGAAUAAAAAAAUGUCAUAUUAGUCACUCCCAUGAACAUUUAACUUCUUGUGCAUCUAAUAUAGGUAGGGCUAUGGGGAUUUAUAGAGGAAAGCCUUUGCCCUCAAUGAGAUCUGUUUGGUUACUUAUGUGUCCAUCAUGUGAAUUGCCAAGAUAGAUGUCCCAUCUGUAUGUUCUGAUAGCAUAUUUUAGAAUAUCCCACUGGCUUAUAUCAGACAUUCAGGGAAAAAAAGAGGAAGUUUGAGCUGAAUUCCCAAACUAGUCAGAGCUCAUUUGGUUGUAAGUGACAGAAAUCCAACCCAAAUAAGCCUAUGCAAAAAAGGGAAUUUGUUGGCUCAUGUAACUGGGAAAGCUAAGGGUAGACUUCAAGCGUGGCUGGAUCCAGGAGUCAAAUAAUAUAGUUACAGCGCUCUCUCUUUUCAUCUCCCAAUUCUUUUUCCCUCUGAGUCAUUUUUUUUUUUUUUUUGAGACAGAGUCUCACUCUGUCACCCAGGCUGAAGGUGGUGGUGCCAUCUCGACUCAUUGCAACCGCCUCCCAGGUUCAAGUGAUUCUCGUGCCUCAGCCUCUGGAGUAGCUGGCGUUACAGGCCUGCACCACCAUGCGUGGCUAAUUUUUGUAUUUUUAGUAGAGAUGGGGUUUCGCCAUGUUGGUCAGGCUGGUCUUGAACUCCUGACUUCAAGUGAUCCACCCACCUCUGGCCUCCCAAAGUGUUGGGAUUACAGGUGUGAGCCACCACCCCUGGCCAUCUCUGAGUCACUCUUCUACUAUAGACACAUUUUCGCAAUGUGGCCAGGGAAGAGGGCUAUGUUCACGACCUCUCUGAUUGGUCUCUUUGGAGGAAAGCAACAAACUUUGCUUUCUAAGUGUUCAUAGAUCAAUUUUAGGUGAGGAUUAUAAUUAUCACCUGAUAAAUAAAUGUGUUUUCCUUAUCAGAAUGAGUACAGGGAUUUGUCAUCUUUUGUUCAGUGCUGUAUUAGUAGGACCUAGAAUAGUAUAUAUGGCACACAGUAAGGUACUCAGUAAAUAUUUGUUGAAUAACUGAACGAAUUAGCUAAAUUUUUGUCAUUGCCCACUUCAUAUCUAAGGGAGUGGUUUGCUACCCAAAGAAGGACAUUGGAAGAAAGAUGUUCUGAGCAAUGCCAGACCAUUAUUAUCUCUAUGGUCCCGAACCAAGAGCAAGACUUGGCCAAAGAGGAGUGGAAACUUCCCAGGCACAGGGAAUAGUAUAUGUAAAGGGGUAGAGGUGAGGGGAUGCAGGACCUAGAGUUAGUUUGGUAGGGGUGGACUACUGGACCACAUGAAGACAGGCUGGGAAGCGGUCUUUUGAAGGCCCUUGGGCUGCAUUUUUUUCUGUUGCUUUUGUUCCUUCAGCCCUGCCCUUCACCUUCUGCACAUUGCCCUGUGCCCCGGGAGGCUAACAGAAAGAGCUUGCUGACUCCUGGAAUAUUGGGAUGGCAACGUUUACAGAACUCUAGGGGAACAAGCAAGAAUCGUGGAAAACUACUGUUGGUUUUCAUAUCGGGGGCUGAAUAAACUGCAGGAAUACUGGCCCCAGUGAUCUUGGCUGUGGAUCAGCCACAUCAAAAUAUGUGAUUGCAGGAGACCGCUUAGAAACCUAUGCUGGCCUCAUGUCUGCAGAUGCAGAUGUCCACCAACACCAGAGGAGGAAGGGCUUCUCCUCAUCUGCCUUCCCAUCUGUCACGAGUGCCCCUCAUUGGCUGGCACUAAGUGAAACUGAUGUACAUUUCCAGCUUUUCCUCUUGAUACACUGGUGAUCAUAGAAGGGGCAGGGAUAGGGAAGCCCGGGGCUUUGGGGUGACUAGAGAGGGUAGGGAUUUGGAGUCUGGGAGGACUCCCAGGCUUUGGUGACAGUGAUGAAUUGUGGUGAUACCCACAGAGAGGAUGAGAAGAAGAAAAGAAGAAGAUUCUGGACAGGAGGGGAGGCCCUAUUGGGAGGUUAGAUUCCCAACCCCCUGCCAACUGUGGAGUUGAGUCACAGCCACCUGCCCCAGUGGGGCUGUACUUACAUUGAUUCAUGGAGUAAAACCAUUAAGUACUUUUGACAUAAAACAUUGGUAUUCUGAGCCCGGGAUGAACAGAUUUUGCCAUGGCUGAUGGAUAUCUAGCUCACAAGCUAACACAGCUAUACAUCUUCCUUUGGUAGGUUUCAAGGAGACCUUCCAGGAACUGGAAAGCAUUGGCAAUUUCUUUGGCCUGGCGCCCUGUUGGCAUGCAUGGUCUUGUGAAUGCCAGAGAGGCCUGAAGCAAAGUAACCAAGUGAGGAGAGUAGAUUGGAGGGAGAGGAGGUGAGACGCAAAGGGGUGGAGAGGAGACCAAGGAAACCCUGGGGAGGAGCCUCAUUACAGAGGUGAGAGGUCACCUAAUGCCCAUGGAGCAGGGAGCAAUGGAGGAUAGGGGGAAAGGGUGCUAGGACUGCAGGUGCUGACCAGCCCAGGCCUCCGCCUCCACCUGGCUUAUUGUCAGUCAGAGCUUCACCUUCCUCCAGAGCAUGCUCCCUACUGUUGACUGGGGACUGUGCUGUGAAAUUUAGCAAGAUCUGGCAGAAAACUCUUCCCCAUCCUAUAUCUUUCUUUGGGCAGAGACUCAAGGACCUCAGUUGUGUGACUUUUCACUUCAGCAAAGUUGGUUUUAUUAGCUCUACUUCCCCCAGUUUGGUAGUAAUCCAGCUCACAAAUCCAUCCUUACAGCCUACUAAUCCAUGUUACAUCCUACUAGUUAACGAUUGUCUUCUAAAUGAGGAAUGCCUUCCAAUUAUUUUUAUGUGCAAAUACAAUACUGCAGGUGCUUAAACAUCAAUAAUGGUAAAAACAACAUGGUAAUUGCUCUAGACUGAAUGUUUGUAUUUCUCUCAAAUUCAUAUGUUGAAGCCCUCAACCCCAAUGUGGCUGUAUUUUGAGAUAGAGCAUUUACAGGAGUAAUUAAGGUUAAAUGAGUCCACAAGGGUAGGGCUCUGAUCCAAAAGAAAUAGUGUCCUUAUAACGGGAGGAACCAGAGAGCUCUCUCUCUCUGCCAUGUAAGAAUACAGUAAGAAGGUUGCUGUCUACAAACUAAGAAGAGGGCCCUCACCAGAAUUCAAUCAUGCUGGCACCUUAUCUUGGACUUUCAACCUCCAGAAUUGCAAGAAAAUAAAUUUCUGUUCUUUAAGCCA